ACCCAUGCUGGCCCCAGGACCCCAGCCCCAGGCCAGACCCUCCAGUGCUCCUGCUGACCUUCCGUGUCUGCAGCCCGGCUUUGGACUGUGGAGAUGCCCUCAGCCUCUACUCAGUGGCUCCAGCCUCAUAUUUGCGUGCUAUACCUUUAACCUCAAGUCCUCUUGCUGCUAACUUAAGCUGCGACUGUCCAGGACCUGCACACACACACACAUGCACGCAUGCACACACACACACACAGAAGGUGAACACACAGGAUGAGGCCCUGAAAACUCAUUUCACCCGUGUACCUCACCCAAAAAUUCCCCUUUGUACUCCUAUCUUUAUCUCUAACUGACAGCAUGAAGGUAGCCCGAAGUCCCCUCACCCUGUCUGUCCUCCUGAUUCUCUAGCCCAGUUCCCUCUAGCUCCAGCACAGACUCUUAUCUCCAGCCCUGACUGCCGAAACCCUCCAGCCCCAGCUCCAGCCCCUCAGGAGGGGACUGCGUGGGAGGAAUGACUCCAGCAAGCCGGCAGCUGACCCGUCUCCUGCCUGCACGCCUCCCGCUGUGGUCCACUGCCGGUGGUCUUCAGCUCUCUCCUCGUCCCACCCCCAUGGUCUGCUGACAGCCCAGCUCAGUGCAUCCCUGCCAUCUCUGCUCUACCGCUGGUCCUCCCAACAACCAACUUACAGGGUUUCACUCCCGUCACCCAGACUGGAGUACAAUGGUGCGAUCUCAGCUCACUGCAACCUCUGCCUCCUGGGCUUAAGCGAUUCUCCUGCCUUGGCCUCCCAAGUAGCUGGGAUUACAGGUGCCUGCCACCACUCCUGGCUAAUUUUUGUAUUUUUUGUAAAGGCGGAGUUUCUCCAUGUUGCCCAGGCUAGUCUCAAACUCCUGAGCUCAAGCAAUCCACCCGCCUCGGCCUCCCAAAUAAGUGGAAUUAUAGGUGUGAGCCACCACGCCGGCCCUGAUGUAUCAAUAUUAAAACAUUUUCUUCAGCCUACAA
rnacentral:lncRNA from 1 species